rnacentral:ncRNA from 1 species
GGUUAAGCGACUAAGCGUACACGGUGGAUGCCCUGGCAGUCAGAGGCGAUGAAGGACGUGCUAAUCUGCGUAAAGCGUCGGUAAGGUGAUAUGAACCGCUACAGCCGACGAUGUCCGAAUGGGGAAACCCGGUGCACUCUGUGCAUCAUCGCAACAUGAAUACAUAGUGUUGCGAGGCGAACCUGGGGAACUGAAACAUCUAAGUACCCUGAGGAAAAGAAAUCAACCGAGAUUCCCCCAGUAGCGGCGAG